CCUACGGGACGCAGCAGUGAGGGAUAUUGGUCAAUGGGGGAAACCCUGAACCAGCAACGCCGCGUGAGGGAAGACGGUUUUCGGAUUGUAAACCUCUGUCCUCUGUGAAGAUAAUGACGGUAGCAGAGGAGGAAGCUCCGGCUAACUAUGUGCCAGCAGCCGCGGUAAUACAUAGGGAGCAAGCGUUAUCCGGAUUUAUUGGGUGUAAAGGGUGCGUAGACGGGAAAUUAAGUUAGUUGUGAAAUCCCUCGGCUUAACUGAGGAACUGCAACUAAAACUGAUUUUCUUGAGUACUGGAGAGGAAA
rnacentral:rRNA from 1 species